UGUUUCAGGGGAAUUUCUUUGGGGAAAAUGCCUCAAGAAGUCCCCUGCCUGCAGACCCCAACAGCAGGAGAGCCAGCAGCAGCACAUCCUGCAUGCCCAGAGAUGGGAGAGCAAAUGGAAUAAUGCAUAUUCCAGAACAUCCUCUCAGGGAAACUGUAGCACCACAGAGAGGCAGUUUAGCCCCAGACAAAUAUGAAAUGUAGCACCAGAGAAACUAAGGUCAGAAGAACAGCUUAUCUCACCUGGUGCUAUAGCACUGAAUAUAUACACACACAGACUGUCUGUCGUCCAAGCUGCCAAGCACCCAUGCCCGCCCCACGGCAAGGCUGUGCCCGUCCCGCAGCAAGCUUGGUCUCUCAAGGUAUUACUUAACUCUGGAUGUAUUUUCCACCCCACUGCAUCGAAAGGAACGUUUAUGUUGCCAUAAACAAGGUGCAGUGGCGAAACUGCCAGUGUUACAGCAAGGACAUCACUAAUCUUUUGACUCAGACUGCAGGAGCACAAAUGCUCAGACCACCAUCAUCUACAAGGAAUGUUGCUUACGUUCUCAACAAGGCAUGCACGUCUUAACGUAUGCAUACAGGAGGGUUUACAUUCUUCUAUAUAUAAGCAUGUAUGUGUCUCUGGUUUGCUGCUGGGCCCUUGAACAGCUCCUUCUGUGCAAAUCCUUCUUCACGUUGCCCAAAGCACUUCCAACAUCUUCCACUUCUUUCUUUCUCUCCACUCUUCACAGCUGCUGCUCAGGCUCUGGAUCCCUGUAGGAAAAGGGAAACAAUUUUCUCCAAGGGCACAGGGUUCUCUCCAGCCUAAGAAAGCAAAAGAAUUGUGUUUGGGUUUAAUUAUAUUGAUGCAUUGCUUACAAUAAAAGCUUCUUUGAAAUUUA